rfam:Picea glauca, whole genome shotgun sequence.
GCAUGUCUACAACAUAGCGCUAAUGCAUCAGAUGCCAUUAGAAAUCCACAGUUAAACAUGCUUCGGAUAGAUUAGUAUUGGGAUGGGUGAUCGCCCAAGAAGUCCUAGUGUUUUACAUUCC